CCUGCAGGCCCCCGCAAACUUGAGUGGGUGUACCCCGAAAUGCAUUACCAGUCUGCUGUCACCUGUCUCCUCGCUUUUUGGAGGAGUGAUACAGGUGUUGUGGGAUGCACACUGUCUGUAUCUACAUUAAGCUGGAGUUUCCUGUCCAUGCAGUUUGGAACCAAAUUGUUUCUUCUUAAAGUUAACUGCCAGGGAUUGUUUUCCUUCAGCAAGAUAACUUGGAGCCAAAGUGGUACUUUCCUGGAAUUAACUCUCAGCUGAUACCCUGACAAUCGCUGAUUCACUUCAACAAGGCUGAUAUGUAGGUGGCCCCCUCCUGACCCUCUCCCUCUCUGAGGAAAAACCACUUCACCCUGAGCAUGGGGGCCUCAGAGCUGAGGAUUGGAGGGGUCAGGUAUCCUGAGACUGCACACAGACCUGUGAUCUUAUUUAGCCUGUCUCAUUGCUGUCCUUGGAAAAAAGUUCAGCGGUCUUGUGAUGUAUGAGCAUCUUAUGAUUUCAGACGUCACGGCAAAAUCCACUGACUUUGUGCCUCUGACUGUACUGUGCUCAAAAUAUUCGCUUUUUCUGUUGCCUCGUUUCACUUCCCACUGCCCUUGUUUUCUCACACUUCUGUUCUUCUAUCUCCAAACAGUCA